rnacentral:rRNA from 1 species
CUUGAACGCUGGCGGCAGGCCUAACACAUGCACGUCGAGCGAGCGGCGGACGGGUGAGUAAUGUAUGGGGAACUGCCCGAUAGAGGGGGAUAACUACUGGAAACGGUGGCUAAUCCCGCAUACUAUCGGAUGAACCCAUAUGGGAUUAGCUAGUAGGUGGGGUAACGGCUCACCUAGGCGACGAUCUCUAGCUGGUCUGAGAGGAUGAUCAGCCACACUGGGACUGAGACACGGCCCAGACUCCUACGGGAGGCAUCAGUGGGGAAUAUUGCACAAUGGGCGCAAGCCUGAUGCAGCCAUGCCGCGGGUAUGAAGAAGGCCUUAGGGUUGUAAAGUACUUUCAGCGGGGAGGCGUUACCCGCAGAAGAAGCACCGGCUAACUCCGUGCCAGCAGCCGCGGUAAUUC